rnacentral:rRNA from 1 species
AUGCCGACAGCAUUCUUGCUGAUGGCCCUACUCCUGGCGGCAGCUGCAGCGUCAGCCACCGCCGAGGCGGCAGGGAGCCUCGUGGUGACCCAUGGCUGCGGCAUGAGCUGCGGCGGAGUGGUCAUCCCCUACCCUUUCGGCAUCGGCGGCGGCUGCUUCCGCAAGGGCUUCGAGAUUGAGUGCGUAAACAACGGCCGCCCUGUGCUCGCCGGCACGUCCAUCCAGGUGGUGCACCUGUCGGCUGAUCCGGCGGAGUCGCUGGUGUUGCUCCCCGUCGGGUGGAUGUGCUACAACGCCUCGAACCCCAGCAAGGCCGCAGACUUCAGCUACGCCGAGACGGAGAUGAACAAGGACGGCGUGUACCGCAUCUCCAACACGCACAAUGAGCUCGUCGUCCUCGGCUGCAACACCAUGGCCUACACCGCCAGCGGGAAGACCGAGGGCGGUGGCGCGGCGUACCCGUACGCCUACUACACCGGGUGCAUGUCCUACUGCAAUGACUCGGCGAGCGCGCGGGACGGCCUCUGUGCCGGCGUCGGGUGCUGCCGCGUCGACAUCCCGCCGGGCCUCACCGGCAACUACUUCGAGUUCCAUGCCUACAAUCACUCCACCAUGAUGGACUACAGCCCCUGCGACUACGCCUUCCUCGUCGACAGGAACAACUACACCUUCCGCCGCUCCGACCUCCUCAUGGACACCAACCGGACCUCGCCCGUGUGGCUCGACUGGGCCAUCCGCGGCGACGUGUUAUCGUGCACGCAGGCGGCCAAGACGGGUCAGUCCGCCUGCGUUAGCGCGCACAGCGACUGCGUGGAUUCCACCAAUGGGCCGGGCUACAACUGCAAGUGCUCCAAAGGCUACGAUGGCAACGCCUACCUUGCCGACGGAUGCACCAAUAUAGAUGAAUGUGCACAUCCGGUGAAGUAUCCUUGCUACGGUGUCUGCAAGGACACUCAAGGAUCUUACCAAUGCACCUGUCAUCCAGGUUACGAGAGCGAUGACCCAAGAACUGAACAAUGCGUUCCAAAGUUCCCACUUGCUGCACAGAUUUCCACAGGUGCAAUAGGUGGUGCACUUGUCAUCGCAUUUACGGCAUUUGUCAUUAUUAUUCGGAAAGAGAAGCGGAAGACCAAAGAGUUCUAUGAGAAAAAUGGUGGUCUUACCUUAGAGAAAGCUAAAGUUAUAAAGCUUUUCAAAAAGGAGGAGCUCAAGCCAGUUUUAAAGAUUAGCAAUUUAAUUGGAAAAGGUGGCUUUGGUGAAGUUUACAAGGGGGUUGUUGAUGACAUACUAGUCGCAGUAAAGAAACCAAUUAGUGGUAAUGUGCUGGAGAACAAGCAAUUUGCAAAUAAAGUCAUCAUCCAAUCCCAAGUCAUCCACAAGAACAUUGUUAGGCUCAUAGGUUGUUGCCUAGAAGUGGAUACCCCCAUGCUAGUGUACGAGUUCAUUUCCAAAGGAAGUUUGCAUGACAUUCUUCACAGGGUUGACAACAAGGAGCCUCUCAACUUGGAUGUGCGUCUAAGCAUUGUUGCAGAAUCAGCACAUGGUCUAGCUUAUAUGCAUUCACAGGCCCAUACCAAAAUCCUGCACGGUGAUGUUAAACCAGCAAAUAUACUUUUGGAUGACAGCUUUGUGCCAAAGAUCUCUGACUUUGGCAUAUCAAGGUUGAUUGCAAUAGACAAGGAACACACUGCAAAUGUCAUUGGUGACAUGACUUAUAUGGACCCAGUAUACCUACAAACAGGCCUAUUGACUGAAAAAAGUGAUGUCUACAGUUUCGGGGUUGUCAUCUUAGAGGUCAUUAGCAGGAAGAAGGCCACUCAUUCUGACAACAACAGCUUGGUGACGAGUUUCCUCGAGUGCCACAAAGAGAAGAAGAAAGCAACCGAGUUGUUUGAUAAGGAAAUUGCAACCACAGGAAAUUUGGAGCUUCUUGACACACUAGCAGGGAUUGCUGUGGGAUGUCUCAACCUUGAUGUGGAUCAAAGGCCAUCAAUGACAGACGUUGUGGCGCGCCUUCUCACAUUGAAUCGAUCACGUAUGGUGUAA